rnacentral:rRNA from 1 species
UACGUAGGGGGCUAGCGUUGUCCGGAUUUAUUGGGCGUAAAGAGCGUGUAGGCGGCCAGGUAGGUCUGGUGUGAAAACUCGAGCUCAACCUCGAGACGCCGAUGGAAACCCUCAGACUAGAGUCCGGAAGAGGAGAGUGGAAUUCCUGGUGUAGCGGUGAAAUGCGCAGAUAUCAGGAAGAACACCCGUGGCUAAGGCGGCUCUCUAGUACGUGACUGACGCUGAGACGCGAAAGCGUGGGGAGCGAACAGG